rnacentral:sRNA from 1 species
UGAGAUCAUUGUGAAAGCUAAUAAA